rnacentral:rRNA from 1 species
GGCGCGUUAGGAGGGAACGGAUGGAACAUUCGCUAAAACCCCAUGUGCCCUCGGGUGAAAAAGAGAAAGUAAGUCAUACUGAUUUAUCUCUGCCUGAAGAGAAGCUCGCGGCUGAUUAGCUAGUUGGUAGGGUAAAGGCCUACCAAGGCGACGAUCAGUAGCUGGUCUGAGAGGACGAUCAGCCACACUGGAACUGAGACACGGUCCAGACUCCUACGGGAGGCAGCAGUGAGGAAUUUUCUGCAAUGGGCGAAAGCCUGACAGAGCAAUACCGCGUGGGGGAUGAAGACUUACUGAGUUGUAAACCUCGGUACCCUAAGGAAGAAGAUAUGACGGUACUUAGGGUGGAAAGCAUCGGCUAACUCCGUGCCAGCAGCCGCGGUAAGACGGGGGAUGCAAGUGUUAUCCGGAUUUACUGGGCGUAAAGCGUCUGCAGGUGGUUUCUUAAGUCUACUGUUAAAUCUUGAGGCUCAACCUCAAAUCUGCAGUAGAAACUAGGAGACUUGAGUAUAGUAGGGGUAGAGGGAAUUUCCAGUGGAGCGGUGAAAUGCGUAGAUAUUGGAAAGAACACCGAUGGCGAAGGCACUCUACUGGGCUAUUACUGACACUCAGAGACGAAAGCUAGGGGAGCAAAUGGGAUUAGAUACCCCCAGUAGUCA